rnacentral:rRNA from 1 species
GACGAACGCUGGAGGCGUGCUUAACACAUGCAAGUCGAACGGAAAGGCCCUGCUUUUGUGGGGUGCUCGAGUGGCGAACGGGUGAGUAACACGUGAGUAACCUGCCCUUGACUUUGGGAUAACUUCAGGAAACUGGGGCUAAUACCGGAUAGGAGCUCCUGCUGCAUGGUGGGGGUUGGAAAGUUUCGGCGGUUGGGGAUGGACUCGCGGCUUAUCAGCUUGUUGGUGGGGUAGUGGCUUACCAAGGCUUUGACGGGUAGCCGGCCUGAGAGGGUGACCGGCCACAUUGGGACUGAGGUACGGCCCAGACUCCUACGGGAGGCAGCAGUGGGGAAUAUUGCACAAUGGGCGGAAGCCUGAUGCAGCAACGCCGCGUGCGGGAUGACGGCCUUCGGGUUGUAAACCGCUUUCGCCUGUGACGAAGCGUGAGUGACGGUAAUGGGUAAAGAAGCACCGGCUAACUACGUGCCAGCAGCCGCGGUGAUACGUAGGGUGCGAGCGUUGUCCGGAUUUAUUGGGCGUAAAGGGCUCGUAGGUGGUUGAUCGCGUCGGAAGUGUAAUCUUGGGGCUUAACCCUGAGCGUGCUUUCGAUACGGGUUGACUUGAGGAAGGUAGGGGAGAAUGGAAUUCCUGGUGGAGCGGUGGAAUGCGCAGAUAUCAGGAGGAACACCAGUGGCGAAGGCGGUUCUCUGGGCCUUUCCUGACGCUGAGGAGCGAAAGCGUGGGGAGCGAACAGGCUUAGAUACCCUGGUAGUCCACGCUGUAAACGGUGGGUACUAGGUGUGGGGUCCAUUCCACGGGUUCCGUGCCGUAGCUAACGCUUUAAGUACCCCGCCUGGGGAGUACGGCCGCAAGGCUAAAACUCAAAGGAAUUGACGGGGCCCCGCACAAGCGGCGGAGCAUGCGGAUUAAUUCGAUGCAACGCGUAGAACCUUACCUGGGUUUGACAUGGAUCGGGAGUGCUCAGAGAUGGGUGUGCCUCUUUUGGGGUCGGUUCACAGGUGGUGCAUGGCUGUCGUCAGCUCGUGUCGUGAGAUGUUGGGUUAAGUCCCGCAACGAGCGCAACCCUUGUUCACUGUUGCCAGCACGUUAUGGUGGGGACUCAGUGGAGACCGCCGGGGUCAACUCGGAGGAAGGUGGGGAUGACGUCAAGUCAUCAUGCCCCUUAUGUCCAGGGCUUCACGCAUGCUACAAUGGCUGGUACAGAGAGUGGCGAGCCUGUGAGGGUGAGCGAAUCUCGGAAAGCCGGUCUCAGUUCGGAUUGGGGUCUGCAACUCGACCUCAUGAAGUCGGAGUCGCUAGUAAUCGCAGAUCAGCAACGCUGCGGUGAAUACGUUCCCGGGGCU